UAGGCAGAGGCCAGUUGGUUCAGGCAUGUAGCUGUUAACUGCAUUAUCGUGGGAUCGAAGCCCUCCUGUCUAG
rnacentral:tRNA from 1 species